ensembl:piRNA 21ur-7262 ncRNA
UGAACAAGAAAAAUAUGGGUU